rnacentral:rRNA from 1 species
CAAUAGCGUAUAUUAAAGUUGUUGCAGUUAAAAAGCUCGUAGUUGGACCUUGGACCUGGACAGGCGGUCCGCCUCACGGCGUGUACUGUCUUGCUGGGUCUUUCCUCUUGGUGAUCUGUUGUUUCGGCAGCAGGGAACCAGGACUUUUACUUUGAAAAAAUUAGAGUGUUCAAAGCAGGCUCGACGCCGGAAUAUAUUAGCAUGGAAUAAUAAAAUAGGACGUGCGGUUCUAUUUUGUUGGUUUUUGGAAUCGCCGUAAUGAUUAAUAGGGACAGUCGGGGGCAUUAGUACUCACAUGCUAGAGGUGAAACUCUUGGAUUUUGUGAAGACUAACUUCUGCGAAAGCAUUUGCCAAGGAUGUUUUCAUUAA